CCUACGGGAGGCAGCAGUGAGGAAUAUUGGUCAAUGGACGAGAGUCUGAACCAGCCAAGUAGCGUGAAGGAUGACUGCCCUAUGGGUUGUAAACUUCUUUUAUAUGGGAAUAAAAUGUUCCACGUGUGGGAUUUUGUAUGUACCAUAUGAAUAAGGAUCGGCUAACUCCGUGCCAGCAGCCGCGGUAAUACGGAGGAUCCGAGCGUUAUCCGGAUUUAUUGGGUUUAAAGGGAGCGUAGGUGGAUUGUUAAGUAAGUUGUGAAAGUUUGCGGCUCAACCGUAAAAUUGCAGUUGAAACUGGCAGUCUUGAGUACAGUAGAGGUGGGCGGAAUGCGUGGUGUAGCGGUGAAAUGCUUAGAUAUCACGAAGAACUCCGAUUGCGAAGGCAGUUCACUGGACUGCAACUGACACUGAGGCUCGAAAGUGUGGGUAUCAAACAGGAUUAGAUACCCUUGUAGUC
rnacentral:rRNA from 1 species